rnacentral:rRNA from 1 species
AUACGGAGGGUGCGAGCGUUAAUCGGAAUUACUGGGCGUAAAGGGUGCGUAGGCGGCUUGAUAAGUCGGAUGUGAAAGCCCCGGGCUUAACCUGGGAAUUGCAUUCGAUACUGUCAGGCUAGAGUAUGUCAGAGGUUGGCGGAAUUCCUAGUGUAGCGGUGAAAUGCGUAGAUAUCAGGAGGAACACCAGUGGCGAAGGCGGCUAACUGGGGCAAUACUGACGCUGAGGCACGAAAGCGUGGGGAGCAAACAGGAUUAGAAACCCUGUAGUCC